CCUACGGGGGGCAGCAGUGGGGAAUAUUGGGCAAUGGGCGCAAGCCUGACCCAGCAACGCCGCGUGAAGGAAGAAGGCUUUCGGGUUGUAAACUUCUUUUGACAGGGAAGAGUAGAAGACGGUACCUGUCGAAUAAGCCACGGCUAACUACGUGCCAGCAGCCGCGGUAAUACGUAGGUGGCAAGCGUUGUCCGGAUUUAUUGGGUGUAAAGGGUGUGUAGGUGGGUUGACAAGUCAGAUGUGAAAUUCUGUGGCUUAACCGCAGAACUGCCUUUGAAACUGGUGGUCUUGAGUACGUGUGAGGCAGGCGGAAUGCGUGGUGUAGCGGUGAAAUGCAUAGAUAUUACGCAGAACACCAGUUGCGAAGGCAGUCUGCUGGGCAACAACUGACGGUGAGGCGCGAAAGCGUGGGGAGCAAACAGGAUUAGAUACCCGAGUAGUC
rnacentral:rRNA from 1 species